CCUACGGGAGGCAGCAGUGAGGAAUAUUGGUCAAUGGCCGCAAGGCUGAACCAGCCAAGUCGCGUGAGGGAUGAAGGUACUGCGUAUUGUAAACCUCUUUUGUCAGGGAGCAAAGGCCGCCACGAGUGGCGUUUUGCGGGUACCUGAAGAAAAAGCAUCGGCUAACUCCGUGCCAGCAGCCGCGGUAAUACGGAGGAUGCGAGCGUUAUCCGGAUUUAUUGGGAUUAAAGGGUGCGCAGGCGGAAUGUCAAGUCAGCGGUAAAAGUUCGGGGCUCAACCCCGGCGGGCCGUUGAAACUGGCGGGCUUGAGUGGGCGAGAAGUAUGCGGAAGGCGGGGUGUAGCGGUGAAAUGCAUAGAUAUCACGCAGAACUCCGAGUGCGAAGGCAGCAUACCGGCGCUCAACUGACGCUGAGGCACGAAAGCGUGGGUAUCGAACAGGAUUAGAUACCCGAGUAGUC
rnacentral:rRNA from 1 species